UUCUGGGUAAGUCCACAUGACAACCACAUAAAUGCCAUGCUCCUGCUUCCUGAUUAACUUUAUAAACCAUUUGCUGUAUAGCUUUAGUCCUCAGCUAACAGCACCUUUGGCUUUCAUGUGAAUUUGAGUGCCAGGGCCAGUCCAGUAGAUAGGCUUUGCUUGUUUGGAGUCCAGAGGGAAGGUCAGCCUCCUUUAUAGGAAAUAGGUGAGGAAUUUCUUUGAGGAACCCAAUCAACACCACAUGGAUGGCUGUUCCAGCAGUGAUGUGUUCCUGAACACCUUGCCCACUACCUGGCAAUGGAGGAACUUGUUCUAUGUAUGGAUAUGAGAUCAAAGAGUGAUGAGCAGAAGAGGAAAUAUGGGGUGCACCAAUUGGUCUUGGCCAGAGUUUUGUUGCUUUGCUGGCUUGGCAUUUUGUCAGGAACAGAGUGGCUUAAGGCAAGAGAACAGAGGUGCCUGGCAGUGUGUGAGCUGUGCCACUCCUCUGGUACAAGAAGGUCCAGAUCUCGGGAGGUUUCAGUGGGCAGGCAGUGCUGUGAAGGGCUCUCCAGAGUCUAACACCCACCCCUACCCUUCAUGCAUCUGUGAUCUGGAGUGAUAAGAGUUUCCCAUAUUGGGAGAUACUAGCCUAGUAUGUAAUCAUGGGUCUUUUGGGAGACACUAUAAAGACAGGACAAUUAUAACUGGUCCAUCCUUCCUCCCCUAUGUGGGUACCCAAGAUAUCAGAAGAGCUCAAAGUCCUGUGCUUAAAUGCACAUAGCAAUGGCCUAAGUAGCAGAAAAUAAAUUUAAUCUACCUAGGCCUGGUUGUGAGGGUAGUUGAUGCUCCAGGUCUUUGCAAUGUUUUCCUUCCUCUUUAAACCAUUGUGUUUUCCUUUUAACAGCAUCUCGAAUAAACCUCUGCUAUUUAAAAAAAAUUGUUACUAUUUGUAUUUUUGCUGUGCUUGGAGCUCUACUUAAGACAGCUGAUUUAUGCCUAGGCCUAAUAUGAAAGCUGUGGGAUAACAUCUCCAAGGUUUGAUAUCAUUCCCUCCUGUAGCUUAGUUAAAGAUAUGGGGCUAUGUUGCGGAGUCAUGAUUUAACCCACCAGCUGUGGGUGAGAGUUUAAACACCAUUUAGGGCCUCAGCCCUUUGCUUCUGAUCUGCAGAUAACGAGGAGGUUAAAUAACUGCAGCCAAUCUGGAUGGAGAUCACAACCAUGCCUUAUGUGGGUGUGGCCCAUAAACUUUUAUGAUAGUCUUGGAUACUACUGAGAGGUUUGUGGCUAUCUUGUCUUGGAUCUUCAAGGAUCUGCCUUCCAUAGGGAGAAACUGAGUUACAAGUGGUUGUAUUGCAAAAGCUCUUAAUAAUCCUUGGUAUAUGCAGAGGGUUGAUGCUGGCUGUGGGCUUUGCUUUUGCAUCUAUGGAGGUUUCAGUGGAGGAAAAUCAAUCUGACACCUUAGAAGAAAGAAAGUUCUUUCUGUUUCUGAUCUCACACUGUGCUCAUUAUUGUACAGGUUGUGACAUCCUGGUCACUAUAUCAACCCCCAGAGAAUCCAUCUCUCAGGUGACAAAUCCCAAGGAAGAAUUAAGGAUGCAGGUUGCAAAACCUGAUACAAGUUUAGCUUCAACAAGCAUUGAAUCAGAGCUUAGAGGAGUGAGGAAAAGAGCAGCUCAGAAGAGAUUUUGGUGAGGAAAGGACCGUUUAACAGUGCAAUUUUCCUGUUGUUUCUCUUUUGAUAUUUUCCAUUUCUGCUGUUUUAGGACUCCUCUCUAGUCUGGUCUUGUUCAGGUUUCUGCAAAGAGCAGCAUUUGCCUCAGUGGAUUGUCUGUGCCUGUGUUUCCUUACAUGCUCAUGCAGUGUUGCUCCACACUCAGCACUUGGAGUUGUUUUGAAUUUUAGUUAGAGUUGAUUUAUGGUGAGAUGUAUAAUGGUGUAACCAAGGGCAGCACAGGCUCUGGGAUAUGAGCCUGGUGCUGUUCCUCUGAAGUUAGGAAUAAUAAUUCUGAUGACUGGUUGAAAAAAAUCCUGCAACUGUUCUGCCACCCCACAGCCUUUUCCUUCUGGCAACAUCUCUGGGGAAUUCAGUGCAGAGAAAUUAUGUUCUCUAUCUCUUUGCCCUUUUAUUCCCCUGGGUUCUUUCUCUUUUACUUCCUAUGCCUCAUUUGUUCCACUGUUCUGAAUCAUAAAUAGUUCUGGUAGUAAAACACAUCUACCGGGGGUUGUAUGGGCUGUUCUUGCAGUUCUUGUUCCUUUGAUGUAUUCUUCGACUCCGCUAUGUCUUAUUUGGAGCCUGAAGAGAUGUGACAAGACAAGUAAUGCAGCUGGUAAAUAUUUUAGCAUCCCACUUGGAGCACUUGAGAGCAGUCUGGUAAUGUUCUCGGUGUCGGUGAGUUAUUUUCACAUGGAUGAUGCACUGUCUUCACUGCUCCAAAGGAUCUGAACUCUAACAUCAACUCAGAUUUUGAGUGAAGAACACUUGAAUCUCUGUCGCUGAAUUUGUUUGGAUGUCUGGUCCAGGGGUCUUGUGUUGCUGCCUGGCUUUCCAGUGCUGCUGAGAGAAGUGAAAAUAGAUGUUACUGCAUUGCCCCAAGGAAGUUCAACUGCCUUGCACCAGAGAUGGCCCAGGGUUUUAGUCACAGCUUAUGAAGCCUUACACUUGAUUGAUUUUUGGGUAGGAUCAGUGCAGUGCAGGGCUCCCAUUCUGCUGCAGCCUUUGCUGCAAAAACUAAGUUUCAGCCUCUUAAUUCAGUUGAAGCAGCCGUGCUGAAUAUCUUGCUGGACUUUACCUGUAAUUUUCAGAUUCACGCUCAUUGCCCACAAUGUUUCAGGUGUUUCAGCCUCUCUGGGGAUGCAACUGGUGGGGCAGGAUGGACCUGCAGCCAUGAUUCUGUUAGUGGUGGCCUUGGGAAGAGUGUGGCUUUGUCACACUGUCACAGAUAAGUGACAUACUGGGGCAGAGCAGUAGGAGAGGUCUGACUUACCUGAGCCUCAUCUUCUGCUGACUUACCUGAGCCUCAUCUUUAGCGUGGUCUAAAGCUGUAACAGUUUAGCUUCACUGAAGAUUAAAUCAGACAUUCAGUGGUGAUACUCCUGGGCUUCUACAGUGUUCUGAAAUGUUUCUGCAGAUUUAACAGGAAUGCAAUGAGCAAGCUUUUUAGUUCAAGGCUAAUAGAUAAAUAUGCAGAUAACCUGGAGAAAUAAAUGGGCAAUGUUCUUUCUCCAAGACUUUUAAAAAUCCCUCUGUCAAAUAAUUUAGUAAGAACAUAAAUAAGAGAUAAAUGGCAGGAAUGUGAAUCCAUACUGUAGCUUUUGGACUUGGCAUGUUUAUGCUUUACCCUCUUUUUGUGCAUGUGCUUGCUGCUGCUAUACUGAACAAUGCCACUCUGAAUAGUACAGUUGAAGUUAUUUUCAGUGUUUUAAGGUGCAGCUCUUAGUUCUGAGGUGUCAGAGGGAUUCAUACAGUCAGAGUCUAUUCUUACUUGUGGAAUGCUCUUUGAAUUGCAGCCAUCAGCUGCCCAUACCAACUUGAGUAAGUGUGGGCAGAUGUCUCUUCAGUGGCUUAAAUCACACCACAAUUUAAAGUUAUUACAAGAACAGCUAGAAGCUAUAACUAAGAUCAACUCCCUGUUUUAUGCACCUAGAGUGAUGGUUUCAAUAAUGGAAAAAUCACAUUUUAAAAAAGAGAUAAAUAAGAUUCUUGCUGCCAUUUCACAGAUAGGAAGCCUGAAGAACAGUCACUUGUGUACUUGAUGUCACAGGGGUUGUGUGACAGAGCUGAAAUUGGUCUGCACGUCCAGUUUAAUGCCAUGAAUUUCUCCUCUUCCUGGCUUUUUCCUUCUUGGAACUGCUGAUGUCUUAUAUACCACUCUAGCUUAGCCCAGGCUGUCUCUCAUUUGACUGUUUCUGACAGAAUACUGUGUGCUACUUUUAAAAGCCUCCUGGGCUUGGAGCCUUUGGAAGCUCAUCCCUCCUGGAGGCUGGCAGUGACAGCUCUGCUGGUUCCUACUGGCACUGCUUGGGAGUGUUGCAAAGGGAUGGAAACAGGGUGUAAUUGAUCUGAAGUGAGGGCAUGUUCAUGCGAUUUACAUGCUGGGGGCCGGAGGAAAAGGGCUGCACUCAGUAUUCCCACUCCCUUGGGUCUCCUACUCCCCACUCUCCUUCUGUCCCCUCUCUUGGGACAUCAGAGGCAGCUUCUUGUUGUUGGUAGUCGUUUACUAAGAUGCGAUGGGCAUGUCAGCUCAGGACAGGAUUUCCCCUCAGGGCAGAAAGCCUUUAGUAGGAAAGGUGGAAUUUUAAGGAUUCUGGACAGAAAGAAAAAAAACAAAAAAAAA
ensembl:lncRNA